GAAAUGCGAUAAGUAAUGUGAAUUGCAGAAUUCAGUGAAUCAUCGAAUCUUUGAACGCACAUUGCGCCCGCCAGUAUUCUGGCGGGCAUGCCUGUUCGAGCGUCAUUCCAACCAUCAAGCCCCCGGCUUGUGUUGGGGACCUGCGGCUGCCCGCAGGCCCUGAAAAACAGUGGCGGGCUCGCUGUCACACCGAGCGUAGUAGCAUACAUUCUCGCUCAGGGCGUGCUGCGGGUUCCGGCCGUUAAACGACCUUCAUAACCCAAGGUUGACCUCGGAUCAGGUAGGAAGACCCGCUGAACUUAAGC
rnacentral:misc_RNA from 1 species